rnacentral:rRNA from 1 species
UACAUGUGGGGCAAGCGUUGUUCGGAAUUACUGGGCAUAAAGCGCACGUAGGUGGUCCGCUAAGUCGCGUGUGAAAUCCCCCGGCUCAACCGGGGAAAUGCGCGUGAUACUGGCGGGCUUGAGAUCGGGAGGGGUGAAUGGAACUCCAGGUGGAGCGGUGAAAUGCGUAGAUAUCUGGAGGAACACCGGUGGCGAAAGCGGUUCACUGGCCCGACACUGACACUGAGGUGCGAAAGCUAGGGUAGCAAACGGG